UACGUAGGGGGCAAGCGUUGUCCGGAUUUAUUGGGCGUAAAGAGCGUGUAGGCGGCCUGACAGGUCUGCUGUGAAAACUCGAGGCUCAACCUCGAGAUGUCGGCGGAAACCGUCUGGCUAGAGUCCGGAAGAGGAGAGUGGAAUUUCCGGUGUAGCGGUGAAAUGCGUAGAGAUCGGAAGGAACACCAGUGGCGAAGGCGGCUACCUGGACAGAUACUGACACUGAGGCGCGAGAGCGUGGGGAGCAAACAGG
rnacentral:rRNA from 1 species